rnacentral:rRNA from 1 species
GACGAACGCUGGCGGCGUGCUUAACACAUGCAAGUCGAACGGAAAGGCCUGCUUUCCCUUGUGGAUUGCGGGUACUCGAGUGGCGAACGGGUGAGUAACACGUGAGUGAUCUGCCCCCAACUUGGGUAUAAGCCUGGGAAACUGGGUCUAAUUCCCGAUAGGACUGCAGGGUGGUGCCUGUGGUGGAAAACGAUUUUCUAGUGGUUGGGGAUGAGCUCGCGGCCUAUCAGCUUGUUGGUGGGGUAAUGGCCUACCAAGGCGGCGACGGGUAGCCGGCCUGAGAGGGUGGACGGCCACAUUGGGACUGAGAGACGGCCCAGACUCCUACGGGAGGCAGCAGUGGGGAAGAUUGGACAAUGGGCGGAAGCCUGAUGCAGCGACGCCGCGUGGGGGAUGACGGCCUUCGGGUUGUAAACUCCUUUCGACCGCGAGGAAGCCACCUGGUUGGAAGGGUGGUGACGGUAGUGGUAGAAGAAGCACCGGCUAACUACGUG